rnacentral:rRNA from 1 species
UUAAAAAGCUCGUAGUUGGAUUUCUGGUAGGAUGACUGUGCCCUCAGUAGAGUGUGCGCUGGCGUCUUGCCAUCCUUCUGUUAACCUUUGGGAGCUUCACCGCUCCCUUUGGGGCUCAGAUAUUUUACCUUGAGAAAAUUAGAGUGUUUCAGGCAGGCUAGCGCCGGAAUACAUUAGCAUGGAAUAAUGGAAUAGGACUUUUGCCUCUUCUGUUGGUCAUGGGGUUCGAGUAAUGAUUAAUAGGGAUAGUUGGGGGCAUU